rnacentral:piRNA from 1 species
AUCCAGCUGUGGAGAGACCAUGAGAUCGU